GAUGAACGCUAGCGGCAGGCCUAACACAUGCAAGUCGAGGGGCAGCACAGUCUAGUUUACUAGACGGGUGGCGACCGGCGCACGGGUGCGUAACGCGUAUGUAACCUACCAUUGACAGGGGGAUAGUCAGAGGAAACUUUGAAUAAUACCGCAUAACAUAUAAAAGAGGCAUCUUUUUUAUAUCAAAAUUUCGAUGGUCAAUGAUGGGCAUGCGUUUGAUUAGAUAGUUGGUAAGGUAACGGCUUACCAAGUCGACGAUCAAUAGGGGUUCUGAGAGGAUAAUCCCCCACACUGGUACUGAGAUACGGACCAG
rnacentral:rRNA from 1 species